rnacentral:rRNA from 1 species
UAGGGAAUCUUCCGCAAUGGACGCAAGUCUGACGGAGCAACGCCGCGUGAGUGAAGAAGGAUUUCGGUUCGUAAAACUCUGUUGUUAGAGAAGAACAGCGCAUAGAGUAACUGUUAUGCGUGUGACGGUAUCUAACCAGAAAGCCACGGCUAACUACGUGCCAGCAGCCGCGGUAAUACGUAGGUGGCAAGCGUUGUCCGGAUUUAUUGGGCGUAAAGCGAGCGCAGGCGGUCAAUUAAGUCUGAUGUGAAAGCCCCCGGCUCAACCGGGGAGGGUCAUUGGAACCUGGUUGACUUAAGUGCAGAAGAGGAGAGUGGAAUUCCAUGUGUAGCGGUGAAAUGCGUAGAUAUAUGGGGGAACACCAGUGGCAAAGGCGACUCUCUGGUCUGUAACUGACGCUGAGGUUCGAAAGCGUGGGUAGCAAACAGG